AUGGAAAAGUCCCGUCAACUUCGUGGUCCGUCGCCCGCCGACGAUUCUUACCGCCACCACCAGCCGUCCGCCGAGAAGUUCGCGUGCUCUCGGAUUCCCUGGGUGAUGCUGGAUCGGUUCGCCCACCGCACCAAGGGGGAUGGGGAUGGCGUUGUUUCGGAUGCGGUAGCUGACGGCACGCUAUCAGAGAUCUCAGCCACCUGCACCGGUAAACCCAUCGCCAUCUCCCUUCGGGUCGCUGAACCCCCGGAGGUGUCCCGUCUCUACCUUCACUGGCCAGACGGGUUGAGGCCGGAGAUGAGCGACCUGAACAAGCCAUUCGUCAUCGCAGCGCACGGCGACUCGAUACUUUUCCAGACAUACGUGCCCCUCGACGGCUGCUACCAUCCCACCUGUUACCCCAUCGACUAUUUCGUCUACACAGCACCCUCCUGUUCCAAGAGUCGUUCGUCGCUCCGGCGACUCCCUACCUGCUUUGACGGCGGCUUGCUGGACCCUGUGAUGAAUCAGUACAACAAGCCGCACCUGUCCCGUGAUCAGCAGGCAAUGUGCAGUGCAGACAUCGGUCUCCUGUGCCACAGGGAUGGUGGGUUCACCGUGGCGAAUCUCGCGGUGGCAGAUCUCACAUGCCUCGGUAGGCUCAGGGUGCUGCACUAUACCCCUCUGGAGACGAACAUGAAGUGGGACGAUAAGGAGCUGCCAUUGCCUUGUGACGUCGGCACCCUGAACAUCGUGAGUGGUUCCUGGCAAACUGACACUGUCAUCCCCUUUGAUGAUCACUAUUUGUGCUGGGUUGAUCUCUAUCUGGGCUUGCUGUUUGUGGAUGUCAUUGCCAAACAUCCACCGCCCCCACGUUACGCCCGGUUACCUGUAGAACUGGAUCAGCAUCGUCUGUACAUCGACCAUGGGGCCCCUGACCCGGCCCGCCAUGUGUGUGUUACUGAUGCAGGCAUUAUGAAGCUCAUUAGCAUCAAUGAUGACACAGGCCGCAGUGUGCGUGACCAGUCUUGUUCUGCUUUCAAUAUCACAACUUGGACUUUCGACUUAGGGACAAUGCGAUGGCAUAAGGAGUUCACCAUCAAAUCCGCCAAGUUCUGGGCCGCUCUUGACACAGAUAAGCGUCUUCCAUGUCUCCUGCCAAAGUUUCCGACCAUUAGUUUGGUUGAUCCUAAUGUCAUUUGCUUCACGUUGGAGGAUAGCUACAACAAUUUUUGGCUGGUAGAGGUUAACACUAAGAAUAAGGUGCUAGGGGCUGUCGCGCUCUCUAUAUCAACGUAG
rnacentral:rRNA from 1 species